UACGGAGGGUGCGAGCGUUGCUCGGAAUUAUUGGGCGUAAAGAGCGUGUAGGCGGUCCGGUAAGUCGGCUGUGAAAGUCCAGGGCUCAACCCUGGGAUGCCGGUCGAUACUGCCGGACUAGAGUUCGGAAGAGGCGAGUGGAAUUCCCGGUGUAGCGGUGAAAUGCGCAGAUAUCGGGAGGAACACCUAUGGCGAAGGCAGCUCGCUGGGACGUUACUGACGCUGAGGCACGAAGGCCAGGGAGCAAACGGG
rnacentral:rRNA from 1 species